UCAAGCCUCGGUCUCGAGCUUUUCGGGAUUUGAUGUCUUGACUCUUGGAUACAAGUGCGCUCUUAGAUUUUACGACUUUGAAAUGUCUUUGGAUUGAAAUAGGAGUUUAUGUGUCUGCGAGCCGAACUUUGAUUAUCUUUGAACGUGUGAACGUGACAAUUGGGGUGAGUUUUUUGGGUGAUAAGCUGGGAUUGACAUUUGGGGAUUUUCCGUUGGCCUUCGAUUUUGGGCUCUUG